CCCGCAAAUGCUGAAAAAGGAAUACCAGUACGCUCUUCAGUCCAGUCCAACCCUCAGCAAAUGGCAUUAGGAAUCCUGUGUGGUUCAGUUGGUUGAGCAUGGAGCUUGCAACGCCAGGGUUGUGGGUUUGAUUCCCACAGGGGACCAGUAUUCAUAUAAAAGCUGUACAGGUUAUGAGCAGAAGGUGGUGGAGUGGUUCAAUCGAGACGGGUCCAAGACAGCUGGGGAGGAUGUAGCAGAAUGGAUCUUCCUGGUGUCUGAGGACAGGAUCCAAAUGACAUACCACAGGGAGGAUGACCGGGUUAUUCCUGCUUGGAGAAACUUCAAGCCCAGAGAUUCAGGGGAUUCCCAAAUCCCACACUCCUUCACCCUUCAGAUGGCUCCCACCUAUCCACCUGGCAUCCACCUUUCAGGUGUAAUCUUCAGGGGCAAUAAACAGUAGCUAAGCAAUCUACAGAAUUUACACCUGGCUUAGAUCAUCUAUUUGGUGCCACCAGCAAUUUGAGAUAUAAUGUUCUUCCGUUAUGUGGGUUAAGUAACUGUGGUGUUUGUCCAAUGGUCUUUAUGUAUGUGCUUUCAGGUAGAUCCAUUUUAGAAGCCAAGUAAGAAUCUCUGUAUGAAAUGUUAGUCUAUAUGAUGGAGGAGGAGAAUGUGGCACAAUCAAGGAGUCUGAGAAAGAGGUGUGCAUGUGUUGUGUAUGUACUUUGGCAUGAAUAAAUAGACCUUUUCUGA